rnacentral:rRNA from 1 species
CAUAUCACCCUGAAUGUCCCCAAACUUGUCUGAUCUCAGAAGGUAAGCAGAGUUGGGCCUGGUUAGUACUUGGAUGGGAGAAUAUGAAAAAGAAAUCAAGUA